rnacentral:rRNA from 1 species
GAUAAACGCUAGCGGCAGGCUUAACACAUGCAAGUCGAGGGGCAGCAUAGAUUGUAGCAAUACAAUUGGUGGCGACCGGCGCACGGGUGCGUAACGCGUAUGCAACCUACCCGUCACAGGGGGAUAAUCCGGAGAAAUCUGGUCUAAUACCCCAUAACAUAUGGAUCGGCAUCGGUUCAUGUUGAAAUUUUCGGAGGUGACGGAUGGGCAUGCGUAGCACUAGCUUGUUGGUGAGGUAACGGCUCACCAAGGCGACGAUGCUUAGGGGGACUGAGAGGUUUUCCCCCCAAACUGGUACUGAGACACGGACCAGACUCCUACGGGAGGCAGCAGUGAGGAAUAUUGGUCAAUGGGCGCAAGCCUGAACCAGCCAUGCCGCGUGCAGGAUGACGGCUCUAUGAGUUGUAAACUGCUUUUGUACGAGGGUAAAGUGGGUUACGUGUAACCUUUUGAAAGUAUCGUACGAAUAAGGAUCGGCUAACUCCGUGCCAGCCGCCGCGGUAA